GUUUAGAUAGUUUAAUAAAAAUGUUGGUUUGUGACACUUAAGAUAUAAUAUAUUUAUUCUAAACA
rnacentral:tRNA from 1 species